CUCUGAGUAAGUUAUCAAACUGCUACUUUUCAAGAGUAGUAUUGGAAGAAAUAGAAAUCUUCCCUCAGAGG
rnacentral:tRNA from 1 species